CCUUUCCCCGCCCCGCCGCCUCGCCCACCCCGCCCCGCCAUCCCGCCUCGCCCGUCCCGCUCUCCGUCUUCUCUCCCCUUCCCAGCCGCUCGCCCCGCCGCAUCGCCGCCUCCUCCUCCUGCGGUCGCUCAUCCCUCCUCCUCCACCCAAUCCCUAACCCUAGCAGCUCCCGCCGUCGCCGCCGUCUACUUCGCCCAGCCUGCCAGACCGCCUCCGUCCACUUCCCCAGUGUCGUCGCGGUCGUCCUCACCUGCACACGGCAAGAGGAGCGGCCCCACCCUCUCCUCUCCUCCUUCCCUCAUCACGAGCCAGGACAGGGAGGGCCACCGUGGCCGGGCAGGUCAGGCGGCGCGUCCAGAUCACCGAGGAGCCGCCCGCAAGGUCGGCCAUGGCGCAACCGAGCAGAGCAGGUGAGGAGGGAGACGCCGGUUCCUCUUUCCCGCUGCUUGCUUCGUCGCCGGCGCGGCUCCGAUGGACUCUCGUGGCUCCUCUCUGUCUCCUUCCUCGCCCCCACACGCGGCUCCACUUCCCGCUGGCCAUGGGGCUGGCCGGCAGCAGCGCCUCCCUCCCUGCCGCUGCCAGUCCCGGCGCCGCCGACGGGUCCAUAGGCAGGCGUCGUUCUUGGUGGUUGAGCCGCUGAUGCAGAAGAUUCAUGGAGAGAUUUGUUGGGUGGACGCCGACAUCCUUGCCGUCGUCCGGUUGCAGGGUAGUUCUUACAAAAAGAGGCAAGCUGAAGAGGAAGGUUGCAAGAAGGAGAGCAACUGUGCAUUGUUAUGAUUGCCUCUUCCUCCUGUUGCUAAGUGUCACAAGCAAAAGGACCAAGUGCGGGCGGGUGAGCAUCAGGAGUCCAGUUGAUUGGCUUCGACCUUUGAGUUAUUGCUGGCUAGCAGUGCCACUUCUGAGCGUCUCCUCACCCCUCAC